AGCCGCGGUAAAACGUAGGGGGCGAGCGUUGUCCGGAAUUACUGGGCGUAAAGGGCGCGUAGGCGGUUAUCCAAGUCAGGGGUGAAAACCUUGGGCUCAACUCAGGGCCUGCCUCUGAAACUGGGUAACUUGAGGGCAGGAGAGGGGAGUGGAAUUCCCAGUGUAGCGGUGAAAUGCGUAGAUAUUGGGAGGAACACCAGUGGCGAAGGCGGCUCUCUGGCCUAACCCUGACGCUGAGGCGCGAAAGCGUGGGGAUCAAACAGGAUUAGAUACCCUGGUAGUCCACGCCGUAAACGAUGGGUGCUAGGUGUAGGAGGUAUCGACCCCUUCUGUGCCGUAGUUAACACAAUAAGCACCCCGCCUGGGGAGUACGGCCGCAAGGUUGAAACUCAAAGGAAUUGACGGGGGCCCGCACAAGCGGUGGAGCAUGUGGUUUAAUUCGACGCAACGCGAAGAACCUUACCAGGGUUUGACAUCCUCUGACAGCCUAUGAAAGUAGGUUUUUCAUCUUCGGAUGGACAGGGAGACAGGUGGUGCAUGGCC
rnacentral:rRNA from 1 species